rnacentral:rRNA from 1 species
CAACUUUUAACAAUGGAUCUCUUGGCUCUUGCAUCGAUGAAGAACGCAGUAAAGUGCGAAAUGUAGUGCGAUUUGCAUGAAUCCGUGAGUCAUCUAAUUUUCGAACGCAUCUUGCGCCUAGCAAUAGGCAUGUCUGUUUGGGUACCGCA